ACUACACUGAAACUGAGAGUAGAAAUAAAACCAAACACAUGGAUAAUUAUUUUCAGUACCUGAGCUUAGUUCUACUUUACAGCGUGAUAUCCGACCGACUUGCCGGUUGUAAAUUUGCGUUAAGACCGACUUUUUUUUUUUUUUUUACUCUUCAAACAACUAAUACAAAAGCAGUAAAAUUGGGGAGACCGAUUAUAGUUGUAACACUACCAAUUCCACGAAUCAAGGAUAACAUAGGAGUCAUGUGACAGUUUCAGUCUCAUCAGGCUUCCUUUACGAUCCCACAUGGAGGUUUUCCAGUCUGUGCUGCUAACUCCUGAAGCUACAGCAGAAAAUCUAAUUCUGAGAAUGCCUAGAACUUGAGAAAAACAGAUCGUGGAGUCGAUGCCAGUCUUUUAAAAAGAGCAGCAGAGGAAGGUAGGAAAGUAAAGUCUGUUAGGGCAGAGGCAAAAUCCCAUGGAAUCUGCCAUGUAACCUUGAACAGAUAUUGGCAGAAAUAUAAAGAACUGAAAGAUCAGGGAUCGAGGGACCUUCCUUGUGUAGGAUACUACAGUCCUCACCAGGUCUUCACCAGGGAGAAGGAGGAGACUUUGUCACAGUAUAUAAGCCAGGCAGCCGAUAUAUACUAUGGGCUAACUCCACAUGAGGUCAGAAAGUUUGCCUAUCAACUCGUGGUGGAAUUCAACAUACAGUACAGCAUCCACAAACCUGGGAUGAGAAGAAAAUGGCGGGGCCUGAUUGUUUUGGCUUGUUUAUGAAUCGGAACCCCAGACUUUCAGUGACUAGCCUUUCAAGAGCUACCAGUUUUAAUCAUGCUAAUGUGGAACUCUUCUUCAGUCGACUGGGAGAGGUGAUUGAUAAAAAUGGGUUUGAUGGCAGUGACAUAUGGAAUGUCGACGAAACCCUUAGUUUUUGUGCAUUUUGUCUACCUGUUACAACUUACCCCAGUAUGUGUUACAACCUACCCCAGUAGUGGGAUAGGUUGUAACAAAGGACCACCUUGUAUUUGUCAUCAUCUCACAAAGUCUGUGACACAGUUGAAUAAAUUUAAAUUGUUGCCAUUUGUAGUAGACAAAUGUGGGUACUUUGCCUAAAUGUUUCAGACGUGUAGCCUAAAAAAAAGGUAGUUUUAGGUGCUGAAGAA